GACGAACGCUGGCGGCAUGCUUAACACAUGCAAGUCGAACGAAGUGGCGAACGGGUGAGUAACGCGUAAUCAACCUGCCCUUCAGAGGGGGACGACAGUUGGAAACGACUGCUAAUACCGCAUACUGAAGGGGGGGAUUGCGUCUGAUUAGCUAGUUGGGGGGGUAACGGCCCACAAAGGCGCUGAUCAGUAGCCGGUGUGAGAGGAUGACCGGCCACAUUGGGACUGUGAAACGGCCCAGACUCCUACGGGAGCCAGCAGUGGGGAAUCUUGGACAAUGGGCGCAAGCCUGAUCCAGCCAUGCCGCGUGUCUGAAGAAGGCCUUCGGGUUGUAAAGGACUUUUGUCAGGGAAGCGGUACCUGAAGAAUAAGCACCGGCUAACUACGUGCCAGCAGCCGCGGUAAUUC
rnacentral:rRNA from 1 species